UACGGGGGGAGCAAGCGUUGUUCGGAUUUACUGGGCGUAAAGGGCGCGUAGGCGGUCAGCACAAGUCAGUUGUGAAAUCUCCGGGCUUAACUCGGAAAGGUCAACUGAUACUGUGCGACUAGAGUGCGGAAGGGGCAACUGGAAUUCUCGGUGUAGCGGUGAAAUGCGUAGAUAUCGAGAGGAACAUCUGCGGCGAAGGCGGGUUGCUGGGCCGACACUGACGCUGAUGCGCGAAAGCCAGGGGAGCGAACGGG
rnacentral:rRNA from 1 species